ensembl:lncRNA
GUGUGUGUGUGUGUGUGCACAUCUGUAUGUAGGCCUGUGUGUGUGUGUGUGUGUGUGUGCACAUCUGUAUGUAGGCCUGUGUGUGUGUGUGUGUGUGUGUGUGUGUGUGUGUGCACAUCUGUAUGUAGGCCUGUGUGUGUGUGUGUGUGUGUGUGUGUGUGUGCACAUCUGUAUGUAGGCCUGUGUGUGUGUGUGUGUGCACAUCUGUAUGUAGGCCUGUGUGUGUGUGUGUGUGUGUGUGUGUGUGUGUGCACAUCUGUAUGUAGGCCUGUGUGUGUGUGUGUGUGUGUGCACAUCUGUAUGUAGGCCUGUGUGUGUGUGUGUGUGCACAUCUGUAUGUAGGCCUGUGUGUGUGUGUGUGUGUGUGUGUGUGUGUGCACAUCUGUAUGUAGGCCUGUGUGUGUGUGUGUGUGUGUGCACAUCUGUAUGUAGGCCUGUGUGUGUGUGUGUGUGCACAUCUGUAUGUAGGCCUGUGUGUGUGUGUGUGUGUGUGUGCACAUCUGUAUGUAGGCCUGUGUGUGUGUGUGUGCACAUCUGUAUGUAGGCCUGUGUGUGUGUGCACAUCUGUAUGU